CAGCAGCCGCGGGAAUACGUAGGGGGCGAGCGUUGUCCGAAGUUACUGGGCGUAAAGCGCGCGUAGGCGGCUUCUUAAGUCUGAGGUGAAAGGUUCAACGCUUAACGUGAACAGUGCCUUGGAUACUGGGGAGCUUGAGUAUGGGAGAGGGCAGUGGAAUGGCUGGUGUAGCGGUGAAAUGCGUAGAUAUCAGUCGGAACACCCAUGGCGAAGGCAGCUGCCUGGCCUAAUACUGACGCUGAGGUGCGAAAGCGUGGGGAGCGAACGGGAUUAGAUACCCGAGUAGUCCCUGUCUCUUAUA
rnacentral:rRNA from 1 species